AUUAUAGACAUAGUUAAUAGUUUUUUAUUUUUAUUUUUCUUUUAAUAUUCGUUUUCGAGAUAGAGUCAGUGCUUUUACAAGAUAGAAUCAGUGUUUCUCAAGAGAAUAAGGCGAUCAUCCAUCACGCGAAGAGUUUCCAUUUCCUGAUGAUGAUAUUUGAUAUCCCAUGAGUUAUGUCAAUGCAGAUUCUUCGCAUCAUUGGUGAGUCGCAUGCAUUUAUGUUCCUCUGAUUACUCAAUCAUGUCGUAGGAUGAAAGAUCCGAAUCGACACGAGUAAUUGGUUGUAUACGUAGAUUUUUGCACGAGCACAGUGACCACGGGUAUUUAUUAUAUCCAUUUAACCCUUUCCAUAUCUAUUGCCAGGAUCUCACUCACGUGCUCAGGUGCUACUUGAAUGAGAGAAAGGCGAUGGGUAUGAUGAUCAUAGUUCAUAAACUUAUAACAAUUUUUCAGCGAUUGACGAUGCAUUAGCGUAUCGUGCACGACGUAUUUUCUACAUUGUGUGUGUAUGAUUAGGCUGUGGAAUUGCGUCGUUUUAUUUAUUAUUUCAUAUAAUUUGCAAUUUUUUUUAAAUAUUCACAAUUAUUAAUUUCAUUCAAUAAUAU